UACGUAGGGGACGAGCGUUGUCCGGAAUUACUGGGCGUAAAGGGCGCGCAGGCUGUAGAUCAAGUCAGCUGUGAAAUGUCUGGGCUUAACCCGGGCAUGCGGUUGAAACUGAUGUACUGGAGUGCUGUAGAGGCAAGUGGAAUUCCCAGUGUAGCGGUGAAAUGCGUAGAUAUUGGGAAGAACACCGGUGGCGAAGGCGACUUGCUGGGCAGCAACUGACGCUGAGGCGCGAAAGCCAGGGGAACAAACGGGAUUAGAUA
rnacentral:rRNA from 1 species